UGUGCGGAGGAUAACCAGCUGAGAAUGUUGGGUGAUGUGCGCCCCACCCUGACGGUGCUGCCCCCCUCCAGAGAAGAGCUGCAGCAGGGGAAGGCCACGGUCAUGUGCCUGGCCAACAAGGGCUUCCCCUCAGACUGGAGUCUGGCCUGGAAGGUGGACGGCAGCAGCAGCUGGGAGGAGAGCAGGAGCCCCGGGGUGCUGGAGGACGGCCACUACAGCUGGAGCAGCACCCUGAGGCUCCCUGCAGACCAGUGGAGGAAGGUGGGCUCUGUGACCUGUGAGGCCACCCAGGGCUCCCAGACUCCGCUCUCAGAGACACUGAGGAGAGACCAGUGUUCCCAGUCCUGAGCUGACUCCCUGGCAGGGACUCUGCUACUGGUUUUACUCUGACACUGCUCUCACUCUGCACUCUGCAACUAGCUCUGGCUUUUAUUUCUCCUCUUUCAAUAGACACAUUUACCAGCUGCUUGCAAUGUCUCAAUAUUAUUUCAGUGUUUCCACUUUAAUAAAGACGUAUUCAUCAAAU